UGCAUGGUGGUGCAGUUGGUAUCACUGCUGCCUUGCAAGAAGGUCCUGGGUUCGACUCCCAGGCUGGGGGUCU